rnacentral:rRNA from 1 species
GGAAUUGCGUCCUAUCAGCUGGUGGUGAGGUAAUGGCUCACCAAGCUACGACGGGUAGGGGAGUGAGAGCUUGGCCCCCCACAAGACACUGAGACACGGUCCUACAUCUACGGAUGGCAGCAACCAGGAAUAUGCGCAAUGGACGAAAGUCUGACGCAGCGACGCGCGUGUGGGGAUAAGGCCUUCGGGUUGUAAACCACUGUGGAGGGGGAGCAAGAUCUGAGAGUACCCCUCUAGAAAGCACCUGCUAACUACGUGCCAGAAGCCUCGGUAAUACGUAGGGUGCAAGCGUUAUCCGGAUUUAUUGGGCGUAAAGCGUACCGUAGGCGGUUUAUCAAGUAUAUGGUUAAAGACCUCGGCUUAACUGAGGAAAGGCUAUGUAGACUGAUGAACUUGAGGGUUACAGGGAGUGCUGGAAUUCUCGGUGAAGGAGUGAAAUCCGUUGAUAUCGAGAGGAACACCAAUGGCGAAGGCAGGCACUUGGGUAACUCCUGACGCUAAGGGACGAAAGCUAGGGUAGCAAAUGGGAUUAGAGACCCCAGUAGUCCUAGCCGUAAACGAUGGAUACUAGCUGGUCGCACUAGAUGUGGCUGGCGUAAGCUAACGCGUUAAGUAUCCCGCCUGGGAAGUACGGCCGCAAGGCUAAAACUCAAAGGAAUUGACGGGAGAGCGCACAACCGGUGGAGCAUGUGGUUUAAUUCGAUACGAAGCGAAGUACCUUACCUGGGUUUGACAUAUAUCUGCAAAUCCCGUGAAAGCGGGACUCUUUCGAAGGUGAUAUACAGAUGUUGCAUGGCUGUCGUCAGUUCGUGCCGUGAGGCGUCCGCUUAAGUGCGGUAACGAACGCAACCCCUAUCGUGUGUUAAAUAUUCACGCGAGACUGCCCUUGAUAGUAUCAUGGGAGGAAGGAGGGGACGACGUCAAGUCAGCAUGACUCUUACAUCCAGGCUACACACAUCCUACAAUGGGAAGUACAUGGGUUGCCAACCCGCAAGGGGGAGCUAAUCCCACCAACCUUCCCUCAGUUCGAAUUGAGGGCUGCAUUCGCCCUCAUGAGUGAAUCGUAGUAAUCGCAGUCAGCAGACUGCGGUGAAUACGUCUCGCUCUUUGCACACACCGCCGUC